GCAUCCUCACCCACGCCGCCGCCGUACGUAUGCCACCGAUGCAGUCGGCCAGUCGACCUCCUCCGAUCGAGUACAUGCACAUCGGCGGCUCAUCCUCGGCCAGUCAAGCUCCUCCGAUCCGGUGCAUGCACGUCGACGGCUUAGGUCUCAAUUUUGCUGUCACAAGCACACACGAGUCCACAGGCCUUUCAGUCCUUCAUGCGGCUCUCCAAGAUCGAUUGAAGCCAUGCAACUCUCCAAGAUCGAUUCAAGUAUUUACGUACAGACAGCUCUCCAAUGUUACUGCGUCAUGGGGUGUCUGCUGGGAUUUGCAUGCUUGGGUUGACCGUGGAGACCGGAACAUAGGGUCCAGAGGUGGCCACGGGAGAUGACAUACAGCCAAGGGGAGCAAAGAUAAUUAGAAGUUAUGGCCAUGCAAAAGAGAGGUUGGUGAGGCCUCUGUUGGUUAAAAGCGAAGGUGCGCAAAGGAGGACUACUAACAGGCGCACCGGAAGAGAUGUUCUCAUUUUCUAGGAAAUGUACCACAAAUCAUUAUGAAAGAUAUUGUUUUCUCUCCAGUACGUACAAAAUAGUAAGGUAAUCUUCUAUAAUUUAUACUGUACAAUUUUCUCAAUCAUACGAGGAGUGGUGUAAAGUUUGUAUAAAAAAUUGUGAGUUUUUUUUGUG